GGGAAGAACAGAACGAGGCUCUGGCGAUCCUCCAGAUCAGGGACAACGACUGCGAGCUUAUUGGGGAAGGAGCUCCGGCCAGCCUCAACCUCCGCCGCCGCCCUCCAGGGAGGUCGACAGGCAAGCGAGGUCUUCCACACCUCAGCACCGCUCGCCGGCGCCGAGGACAAGCUCCAGAGCGGCAUCACGCCAUACGCCACAUGGGCAAACACGAGACCACGCCCAGCUCUACAUCUAAACCUACAUCUACUGCUGUACAAGGGGAACCGGCAUCCUAAUCCAGCUCUACAUCCACCAACGCGAGCGCCGGCGGCGAGAGGGACCGGAUCCGGGCGAUUGGUGGCGACUCUCAACGGGGGCGAUGGAGAGACUUCGGGAAAGGAAAAGAAUCGCGACGCCAGUAUGUCCAAGAAGUUGUCAUCUUACCGAAGACAAAUUAAAGUAUGGGUUGACUAAGCUAUUUGGUGUUGGAAUCGGCUAGGUUGGUCAUAUUGGUGGUAUCCUCUGACAUGCAUGCCUCUGAACGUCCAUCGAGGGGGAAUGAAACAACAAGGAGCAUGAUCGGGAUAGGAGAGUGCAGAGGGCACUGCCAGUGCACUACAUCACAUAUGACAUCUGUAGGAAUGAUGGCAUCAACUGUCAUUUGCACGUUUAAAGAUUCACAAUGGAGGUGAGAUUGGUAUAUGCUUUGUCAGCAGAAGUCGUAGGUAAUGAAGUUGGAUAAUAUACAUAGUUUUCCUUUGGAUUCCUUACGAAAGACUAAUUUCCAGAAUCCAUAAUUUGUAAGACUAUUAGAUAGCUUGAUUUGAAUGCUAUUGGAAUUGUUUUAUUCUUUUAGGUGUCAUAAUCUCUACCGGUAGCUAGCCUGGUUUGGAGUUGUUGAUCUUUGACAUCUCAUUUGGAACCGUUCGCUCUUUGCUUAUGAUUUGGAUGCCCUGCAGUGGAAUCCAGCUGAAAAAGUGAAACCAAACGGGGCCAAAGACUCUCCUCAUUAUUCAGGUAUACAAGAGAAUAAUGGAGUUGUUGAAUCUGGAGUUUAUUCCAAGGUGCAAAAUUUACCAAAUGAACUAUAAUGCUAAUGAUUUUGUUCCAUUUAAUUUCUUGGAGUUGUCGCACAUUAAAUUCUUGACGCAAUCCCUCUACAUUUUUUAUGGGUUCUGAAUUCUGAUGUAGCCAUUCGUCUCAUAGCUGCAAUUGGAAGUCCAAAUUCAAAGUUCGGUCUUUUUCUGGAAACUGAAACAGUGGCAUAUAGUAUUGUCUUUCUCUACAGUACAUCCUCUUGCUUUCUAGAGAAUUGAUCAUGCCUAUCUUGCUUGAUUUGUUUGUGAUCUGUAUGUUACUCUGGAUGUCUCUUGAAAAAAAUGGAUAUGAAUGAGAGGCGCUCCAAGGAGCAAGAGAAAUCAUGGGUAAAUAGAAAUGCACUUUGAUUUUUUAUGCCAUUAAUAUAACUGAAAUAUUAAUGAUGGUUGUAUAUAGUGUUUUAGACCUGUGGCUCUUUUGUUUACAUUAUGAGUAGUACCAAUCUUAUAAGAUGUUCGUUAUCCAGGUAAAACUUGGGAACAUGUAUGGAUGGACAAUGUUAUAUGGAUUUGAUACUUUUAUUGGCUAAUUGUAUAGCGUAUGAUAUUAAAGAGUUUAGAGUUGUUUAUCAUGUUGUUUAUGCUGGAGUUAAAAUUUUCAUGUAUAUAAUGACAUCAUCUUCAUAAUGAAGCCGCAACUUCUGCCUCAUGCUUUUUCCAUUGUACUCUGAUGGCUUCACUUCAAUACGUGUAUGACAGGAGUAAGGAUGUUUCCAUACUCCGUAAGUUUUCACCCUACUCCAGGAAGCCAUUUCAUUAGUUUUUGGCUCCUGACACUUUCAAAAAGGAUACUGACUACUGAUAACUUGUAGAUGUUUAAUGGGCAUAUGCAUGCAUACACUCGAGGUCCGCCGGCCUAUCAAUUUUAACUGAAGGGACUGCAGAAUAAAAUGUAGGGGCAAAACUUUGCGAGUGG